rnacentral:lncRNA from 1 species
CUGUAUUUAUUCUACUCUGCCAGUUUCAAUACUAUUUUUGAUCUACUUGCUGAACUACAGACGAGACCAAGGCUUAAACUGCAUCCAUGUUCAUCGCUACUCUACCUCUUCGUCACUACUUACCUUCUUCCACUUCUGCUUCUGUUCAUCGCUACUUGAAGAGGUUUUCCGCAUCAGCUUCUUCCUCUUCAGGUUCUCUUUGCUAUCACAUUUUGGUCUUGGCCUGCGCCGUGAGCGUAGCUGUGAGAAGGGCCCCUCAAGUAUGGCACAUGCAGCACACUGCCUCCCAGGACCGCCACAGUCCUUCAUAACCCCUGCGUCCAAUAUUGACUUCACGAUUCUCUCUUUAGUUCCAGUUACCCAUAUCCGAUGCUUCCGCGCCUUCGCCUGCAGGAAUGCCUUCUUGCAUUUAUCGACCCAGUUCAGCACCGCAGGGUCCAUUUUAGACCGCCUCUCCUUCUUGGACUGCUUGCUCUUCUCCAUGGCCUCUUUUCUCUUCUCUUCCAGCUCCUCUAGCAACUUGCAAUCUUCUUCCGUGAUACCAUCGGCGAAGGACUCCAAGAAAGUCGAAGCAUGCAGCUGAUACUCCAUAGCAUCCGCCUCUUUGUCCACGGGGUUCAAAUCAACCUUCGUCGGGCUGAAGAAGGCAUAAUGCACCCGAAGUUCGUCCUCGCUCACGUCCGGUACCCACAUUUGAACGUAUGACUUCUUCACAAACUUCUGUUCUGACUUUCGAUGGUUCUUGGGGUUCAUGGUUAUCUGCCCAGCGAUUAUAUGGACGACGCCUUCAGACUUGAACACCACCACGAAAUCUGUGUACUUGAAGAAAUAACUAUCCGGAAGUAGUACAACUCCCUGACCGUCCCGAAAGCCCUUAGCCUGCACCUGCUUCGGCUCUGCUCCCUCAAAAGGGAGUUUGGUGAAUUCUCUCGGAACCUUGAAGUCCCCUAGCUUCAUGCCUUUCUUACAAAUCACUUCACCGAUAAAAGUUUCAAUCAGCCAGCCGAGCUCAGCCCAGUUCAUACCCCUCACAUCUGCCAGCCUUUGACGUGCGUAAGCCAUCAAGACUUUGUUCCGAUAGGCUGUAGACGCCAAGCGCCUGUUAACCUCCUCCAUAUGGAUUCUUGCGAUAAAAGGGGUGCAGAACUCCGUCACCGCCGUAAACGCCGGGAAAAGAACAGGCAGUUCCGUAUAUGGUAACUCCGGGUCCAAAUUCGCCAUGUUCCUGCGUAUCGCUUUCUUUAAAUCUUGAAAUUCCGGAUCCUGUUUGUAGCGCCUCACAAGCAUCUUCCACUCCAACCUCUGCAGGACAGAACGUUAAGGCCCUAGUUACAAUAAUUCACACGGUGCACUUACAUGGCAGUACUCCUCAAUUAGCUGGUUGGAAUCAGUAGCAGAAGGGCCAGUGGCAGGAGCAGCAGCAGCAGAAGAAUCAGCGGCAGAAGGAUCAGUGGUGGCAGAAGGAUUGCGCCAGAUAUCGUAUAGCUCGUCAAGUUCAAUGUACUUUUUUCGAGCACCUGAGACGCAACCUGUCAGGCUGUUGCAGUGGUUAACAAGAAUGGAAAGUGACAACGGGUGGCAUGCACCAAGGUCCUCGACAUCACCCCAGUGCUCAGGAUAGUUCUCAAGAAACUUGCCAAGAACAGUUCCCGACAGGUACGCAUCACGCUCUGCCUGUUUGACGAAGAUAGUUAGCAAACUCCAAUCUGAAGGCAUCACAUUACCUUCGUGAACAUCUUGCUGAUAUUAUAUACUGUGGGACUACCUUGAAACCGAGAUUCUUUCAAUGCUUCACUGUUGGGUGAAAGGGCCUUCACCACGACAUGUGCUUGCCCCCAAAGUUCGUCUGUCCAUUUCCUGGCUGCCUUGCGCUUCUCUGCAUCACUUCCGGUCCUCAGAUCAUGACGCUCUUCCCCAUCAUCAGUCAACAGGACGAUCCUUUCGCCUAGCCGCCUCCGACUUUCCAGAAAUGCCUUAGCAUCUUCCGGUGUUUCCAUGUAGGCUAUGGCCUCCUCCGCGCCUUUCUCGUUGCAGAACGUGAACAGUAGCACGUCACGGACCUGUUCAGCAACGGGAUGAUCCACAUCCAAGUACCAAAUACACACUACUCUGGUGAUAGGAUAUCCGGGUUGUGGCCGCUUGUUGAACUCAUCGAAAACUUUUAUAAGCUCCCAGGCGAAGGCUCUCAACAUGCUGCUUUUCCCCCCUCCCUUGGUACCUGUCAAUAUGAAAACGCCCCCCAUGCUAUCGCUGAGUAAAGGUUUCACAGCAAUCCUAAAACCGAUGUACUCCUCCGUGCUGCAAAAUGCGAACUCGCGAGGAGGCCUCUUGAUCUUGCACGAAUCCUCCAAGCCCGGGAACGGAAGAGAAACCUUGGAGCCUUGAUUGCGCAACUCUGCAACAUCUACUUCACGGGCCCUCGCCACUCGCGCCUUCUUCACCUUGCUCUCAAGCUCCAUCUCUGCGCGGCGGCUAACCCUUAGUCUUAAAUAUUUAAAUUUAACCUAAUAAUAAUCUUAAGUAUGACUAACCAGACCGUUUUGGACGCCUAUGCAUGUGGCAAGCGAUCAAAGACAAAGAUGAAAGCAGAGCUCUUCUGUUUUCGCGGGUUUACCUCAGAUUAAUAUAACCAUAAGCCCUAGGAGACAUUUUCCCGAAGGAGAGCCCACUUAAAGCACAUGGGGGUCCGAAGCGGAUUUUGGGCAGCUUGUUGUCAAGUUGUGUUAGACAAACUCACAGUCUCUUUCUAAAACCUCAAUGGUAGAAACUUAUAAAAGGUGGAUAGCAACAUGCAGAAGCUGCUGCAAAACAUCUUGCUCAUCAUGACAACAGACCUCGUAUAGGUCACAAGCAACUUAGAGACGAGGUCUGUUGUCAUGAUGAGCAGCCUCUUCACAAUGUUGUAGAAACACUGCUGUAUAAUAUUUCAGCUUUGAUUAUGCUUGGUAAAGCAAAAGAGUCCUAUUUAGAUAUCUUUGAAACCAAUGAGACAUACUAUUCAUUCUAAAAAGGUGCCAACUUCUUAUAAAGCUUGCAUUUUCUGCGACAAUAUGCAAAUCCCAAGGACAAACACUCCUAAGGAUAAACACUGCAAAAACAUUCCUUCUAAGAUUAAUUGUCAGCCAUAGUCCAGCUUUAUGUUACGUUCUUGAAGGGAACAUCAAAGAAAUGAAUUUUGAUCUUUAUAGAAGAUGCAAAACAGAAUCAUUAACACAAAAAAUAUUGGCUACAAAUAGAACUAUAUCACCAAACAACAGUUUUCCUAUCUAUUCCAGCAGAGCUAGAUUCCUUGCUAGUUCUGUAUUUAUUCUACUCUGCCAGUUUCAAUACUAUUUUUGAUCUACUUGCUGAACUACAGACGAGACCAAGGCUUAAACUGCAUCCAUGUUCAUCCCUACUCUACCUCUUCGUCACUACUUACCUUCUUCCACUUCUGCUUCUGUUCAUCGCUACUUGAAGAGGUUUUCCGCAUCAGCUUCUUCCUCUUCAGGUUCUCUUUGCUAUCACAUUUUGGUCUUGGCCUGCGCCGUGAGCGUAGCUGUGAGAAGGGCCCCUCAAGUAUGGCACAUGCAGCACACUGCCUCCCAGGACCGCCACAGUCCUCCAUAACCCCUGCGUCCAAUAUUGACUUCACGAUUCUCUCUUUAGUUCCAGUUAUCCAUAUCUGAUGCUUCCGCGCCUUCGCCUGCAGGAAUGCCUUCUUGCAUUUAUCGACCCAGUUCAGCACCGCAGGGUCCAUUUUAGACCGCCUCUCCUUCUUGGACUGCUUGCUCUUCUCCAUGGCCUCUUUUCUCUUCUCUUCCAGCUCCUCUAGCAACUUGCAAUCUUCUUCCGUGAUACCAUCGGCGAAGGACUCCAAGAAAGUCGAAGCAUGCAGCUGAUACUCCAUAGCAUCCGCCUCUUUGUCCACGUCCAGGUUCAAAUCAACCUUCGUCGGGCUGAAGAAGGCAUAAUGCACCCGAAGUUCGUCCUCGCUCACGUCCGGUACCCACAUUUGAACGUAUGACUUCUUCACAAACUUCUGUUCUGACUUUCGAUGGUUCUUGGGGUUCAUGGUUAUCUGCCCAGCGAUUAUAUGGACGACGCCUUCAGACUUGAACACCACCACGAAAUCUGUGUACUUGAAGAAAUAACUAUCCGGAAGUAGUACAACUCCCUGACCGUCCCGAAAGCCCUUAGCCUGCACCUGC